UCCCAGAUAGCUCAGAUGGUAGAGUCUGCCUGCAAUGCAGGAGACCCAGGUUUGAUCCUUGGGUUGGGAA
rnacentral:tRNA from 1 species